rnacentral:tRNA from 1 species
GCAGGAGUACCCAAGCGGCCAACGGGGCAGGUGAAUCCUAAUCCUGUGGCUUAGUGCCUUCGCAGGUUCGAAUCCUGUCUCCUGCA